GCUGAGGCUGCUGUUUCUUUGCAAGAGUGUGGUACACGGCUGGGUCGUGGUCUGGGGAGCUGCCGGUGUAGAGCCACCGCUUCUUAGUAGAGUUACCAGAGGCCCAAGCAGUGAGGCUACAACCGACCAGCCUGUGACCAACAGCAGACCCGUUCCUGUUGUGUUUGGCUUCGCCCACACAGGAAGACAAAGUUGAGCACACCCAGCCACGACGAACUGCAGAAGAGGAUACUGCGGUUCCUUAAGUCCAAGCUCAUCUUGAUUCUUCAGAGAAGACCCAUUCUGCCCUGCUUUGCUCCACAGACUACAACAGUUGAAUCUUGGCAUUGGACCCCUACACCUGUCCAUCAACCAGGUGUUUUGUGUGGGCGUGGCGCUACGCUCACUGUCUCUCGCCACCUGAUCACCUGCACACUGGCCUGAUUACUUACCCAUCGGCAAUCCAUCAGCCCAGCAGUAUAUCAACCCUGGUUAUUCAUCCAUUCUUCACUAGAUUGUUGUUUCAGCGCCUUCUCAGCUCUAUGCCUUGUCUUCUGUGCCUCAGGAUCAUUGCCUGAGCUCUUGCCAGGCUGCUAGCCUCACAGCCUGCCACACUCAGCCUAGCACCUCAAGCUCUUGCCUCGCCUGCUUACCACUCAUCCCACACUCCCAGCUCAGCUCACCCACCUUCAUUCUCCCCUUAACUUUCACCAUCGCCAGCCGGAGUCCUCCCCCAUUCUCUCAAUCUGUUACAAUAAUAUCCUGUUUCUUCACCUUGCAUCCGAGUCUGUGUUCGGGUUACCUCAUUUAUUGUAACACAGUUAGUAUUGUUGGUACAAUAAUGACUUAAUGCUCUUGGCUAACAGGUUUUGCUGUGGCUGCUGUAGUGUAAACUUCCUCAAAUCCAGUUAAGAGCAGGGAUGCUAACUUUAGCCUUAACUCUGUUAGCAUCCAGAUCUGACUUUUAUACAGUGGCGACAUACUACAGUUGAUGAGCUAUUCAUUAACGAGGUAAUGCAAUAUAGCAUACGGUGACCAGGUUUCUGAAAUGAAAAUCAGGGACAUUUUUGGAUUGGUGGUCAGUAUGUCAUAAAAAAUAAAAUUAUAUAUAACAUUACAGUUUUAUAACCUGUCAAAUAUAAUCAAGUCAUUUCAGAGCAGAAUUAACAACUCAGUUAAUAAGUAGAGGAUGCAAUCACUGUCUGGUAGGCAGAAUAUGUCACAGGUCUGAGUGCAGACUGAGGCGAGGACCCAAAUGCAGACAAUGGCAAGGCGAGGAGGUUGCAGUUCAAAAACGUUUAUUAAUUCAAAAAACUAACUUAAACAGGCUUACAAGGAGCUCGAGGCAAAGUCCAAACAAAGGUAAUCCAGAACACAAGGCUAUCCAAAAACACAGGGAAUAAUCCAGAACAAGGAAAACGAAGGAACAGGCAGGUCACUCAACAUUAGACGCAAGGACGUGACAAAAACUGGAGAGACAAGCAGGCAUAAAUAUACAGAGACUAACAAGCAGGGCGGGAGCAACACAGGUGAGCGGGAUCAGGGCUAACGAGGCGGAAACAGAACACUAGACAAGCAGACAUGGGGCAGAGUGAAUAACCAAGAAGACAGAAACACACACACAAGUUACAAAGAACCAGAACCUAAACAAGAACACAGAACUAGAACACAGAGUACAGAGGAGACCAAACCACAAUAAUGCAAACAAGGACCAGGAAUGAACACCAAAACAUGAACUAAGGAUAUGGACUGUAAGGGGACGGGUACUGUCAUGAUCCUGUCUGUGUGUCUUGUUUGGGAGUCUGGGUUUACCCAGUACCCGUCCCCUGACGUCCCAAAACCAAAACCCCCCAACAAAACCAAAAAAAGUCCAAGACCCAACCAGGGUGGGAGGAGAGGAGGGCCAAAAACCAAAACAAGAAUCUCAGGGGCCCAAAUUCAGGUGAGGCAAACGGUUCAGGAGGCUUGGGACCUCAGGAGGCAGAGCUGGGCUGAGGACCACAGACUGAGCUGCUGGGCUAAGGUUGGUCGGACCACCGACGAGGGACCAGGAGUCGAUCGGACCACCGGCGGAGCUGUUGCCGGUCAGUCCACCGACGGAGCACGAGGAACAGGAAUCGGCUGGGCCACCAACG